rnacentral:rRNA from 1 species
CCUCCGGGGCCCGAUCUCCCACCCUUUGUCGUCGCGAAUCAGUUGCCUCGGCGGCGCGUGCCCCCCUUCCGGGGGGAACGGCGGGCUCCGGCCCACGCCGCCGCGGGACCAUUUCAAACCCUUGCUUUUAAACAAUGCGGUCUGAGAAAGAUUUUUAAAUGAAAUCAAAACUUUCAACAACGGAUCUCUUGGUUCUGGCAUCGAUGAAGAACGCAGCGAAAUGCGAUAAGUAAUGUGAAUUGCAGAAUUCAGUGAAUCAUCGAAUCUUUGAACGCACAUUGCGCCCCUUGGUAUUCCGAGGGGCAUGCCUGUCCGAGCGUCAUUUCCACAAUCAAGCGACGCUUGGUGUUGGGCGACAGGCCCGCCCCCCGCGGCGGGCCCGCCCGAAAUGCAUCGGCGAGGAGACCGACCCCCGGCGUACUAAGGACCCCCAAAAGUUCGCACGUCGGGAGCACCGGUGGCCUCCGCCGCAACCUCAGUGGGGGCUUCGCGCCCCCCUCUCACAAGGUUGACCUCGGAUCAGGUAGGGAUACCCGC